AAACAGUUCUACCUCCUAAGCGUCAUGUAUCUGAUGGAGAUGGUGCUGGAGGAAAACUCAUAGGAUGCAGCUAUGAGAAAACACAUACCCUAUACUAAUCUCACGCUUUCAUAUUUCAAGUAAACCCAUACCCCCUAACAGCAGUGUCCAGAAAAGCAGGAAGUCUAUGGAUGGAGUAAAAGGGUGGGCCACUGACAAAAAACACAUAACCAGAACUGCUGAAAGGGGCGAACAUACACAAAAAGGGGGCAUGUCUGUGUCCCCAUGUCUCCCAGUCCCUUAGUGUCUGUGUCCCCAUGUCUACAGUGCCCCCGUGUCACUAGGGAGACAUUGAGAGACAUUGGGACACUGAGAUACUAGGGAACACUGGGAGACCUGGGGACACAGACCCUUGGGAAAACUGGGAGACAUGGGGACAUUGGGUGACUUUGAGACACGAGGGGAAACUGGGAGACAUGGGGCACUGAGACACUGUGAUACAUAGGGGACACUGUGAUAUAUAGGGGACACUGGAGACUUGAUAAGACCUGGGUACAGAUCAAAACAUUGCGGUGUCCAAUAAACCUGCUUAAAUCUAUCACAGUGAGUGCCUGAGAUUUUUUUCUUUUAUACUAGAGGACACUGAGACACUUUGGGGCACUGUGAGACAAG